UCCCGAAGUGUCGAAGCUUGAGAAACUUGUUGCGUAAUACCGACGUUAAAACAAAGACAAAAGGAAAAGAACCGUGAGAGCGGCAAAUCACACACACACGGAAACCUGCAGGGGUCUCACGUGCUGCAGAAAUCCUGGAAGAACAGUGAGUCAGCGGAAACCUUGAACACACCUCAGAGAGGAGUCAGAGCUGCUGCAGAGGAAACGCUCACUUCACUGCAGCUGGAAAAUAACAAAGUCCUCAAACUGCUGCUUUAUCUGAACCAUUAAACACACAAGAUCAAGAUUAAACCAGAUGUUGACAGAUGUCGACAGCAGCUCCACAUCUCCCUCUAAUCUCCUUUGAAAGUGGAUUUUUUUCUGAGAACCUGGUGUGUAAUUAAAGGGUUAACGACAGCAGGAAGUAAAAACACUCGGAGGAUAAAAUGUGAUGAAACAAGAGAUUUGACGUCUGUGUUUCACAAUCAGAACAAACUGUUUCCUGCUGAUUCACACAAUAAGACUCAGAGACGAUCACUCUGAUGAGUCAUGAUUAUUAAUACUAUUGAUAAAUAUUAGACACAUGAAACUUGACUUGCUGCUGUAACGACGCUUCAGAUUUGAUCAGCUGAUCAAAUGUUUUGAGUCUUUUAAUCAAGUAAAAUUAAAAAUGCUGAGUGACAGCUGAUUAUUGGUGAUCAAUAACCUCGUUAACAGCAGAGCUGAAGACAAGUUUCACUUUACCAGUGAAACAUAUGAAAAGAAUGAAGUUUAAUGUGUUUAUUAUUAUUAAAUUUAAUUUGACAGAAACUUUUCAUCCUCCAGUACAAACUGAUCAAAUCAACUCAAGGGUCACUUACGGGCUUUCAACCACAUCCCACAACCUUCUUCAGUGAAUGGAGCUGGCUCAGAUUUACAGAGACUCAGGUCACAUGAUGACACCUGGGCCAGCUGCACCUGCAGAGGAAGACCAUGAGACAUGGUCAAAAGCUCUGCACAAAGCUGGACCUCGAGUUUAGAAUAAACAGACGUGGAUUUAACUCAGGAAGCAGGAAAGAGAAAAGACCAGGUGACAUUUGGUCAGGGUUCUGUCAGCUAUGAAUUCUGGGAGAUAAAGACCUGCUGACUCGGCGCUUGUGAAACGUCUCCAGCUGGACGAGCUCAGAGUGAAGGGGCUGCUGGGAAACCACUUCCUGUUUUACUCGAAGCUGAUUGGAUGAAACCAACAUCAGCUGUUUAGUUCUGAGAAAAAACAUGAACUUUCAGUUCAGAGUUUAAUGUUGAAGGUGACAAUCAGUUUGUUUCAAAUCAAUAAACACAUUUCCCAUGAUGCAUCAGUGUGACGCUCAUGUUCUCAGUGGUUUUCUGCUUCGUCAGCUGAACGACUCUGAGGGAUUUCAUAAGCCUGGUCUGAGAGAGGGUCCAGGUCCAGAGGGUCCUGAGUCACAGAGACCUGAACCAGAGACCUGCUGAUUGAUCGAUCGAUCAAUCGAUCAAUCAAUCAAUCAAUCAAUCAAUCAAUCAGUUUGAUUAUUAAACAGAGUCUACAUAAAAUUUCAAAAUUAAAACUCACAAACAAUAAGAACCUGAAGGGAACCUGUGGACUCUGGUUUCUCCUACAGCGGGGAGGAGUGUCACACUGUUGCCACGGUAAUAACAACAUAUGAGCAUCUCUCAUUAAUUUCUGCCUGUCUUAACG